UAGAGAUGAGGUGUAAAGGUGAGAGAUGAGGUGUAAAGGUGUUUCGUGUUUAACAGAGGUACAGCUUAAUUAUUAUUGAGUGAGUGCUCAGAGAAGGUGAAAAGCCUGUGUAGUUGUGCUACCCUGUUGAACUGUGACACUGAAGAGUCUAGUUGUUUGAGAGUACAACUUAAAGCUGGUGGUAAAUUUCAUCAAAGGCUAAAUAUAUGAGGGGACUAAUAGCGAACAAGUACCAUGAGGGAAAGUUGAAAAGAACUCUGACGAGAGAGUUCAAUAGUACGUGAAACCAUAUUGAGUAAAACAGAUAACUGUGCUGUUAUGUGGUGUGCCUAUCAACAGUUUAUUUGGUGUUGUGAUGCAUUGAGUGUAGGUUGUCUAUUCAACUAAUUGCUCGGUGUUAGCAUAGCCAGCUAUUCUGUGCAAUAGUGCACACUCGAUCAUUGAGAAACUAUGCUGCUGCGACAUCGGCGUGCAACAGUCCGUACCUAGUGCGAGGUUGUAUGCUGGGUGUAGCUAGCUGGUGUAGUUUAGCUGUGUGACAGCUGUGGCCUGCGUUUGUGAUAGGUUCGUGCUGUAUCUGCGAAUUGGUUUAUUCUUUUUUGCGGUGAGCACGUUAUCGUCAGCAAGCGGGCCGCCAUCAAUGUUUAGCAUUUGUUAUUUGACCCGUCUUGAAACACGGACCAAGGAGUUCAAAUGGCACGCGAGUCAUUGGGUUUAAACACCCGAAGGCGAAGUGAAAUGCAAACGUAUGUAUUUGUGAUGUUAUGAUUCGUAUGUG
rnacentral:rRNA from 1 species